ensembl:lncRNA
CCCGUUCUCUAGCAGUCCGCUGAGAGGAGAGUAACAGGUUUUGCCGGCCGAGUGGAGUCCCUUCGGACGUCGUUGGGGAGGGUUUAGCUCCUCAGCCUUUCCAGGUGGCACACAAACUGCUGUUUUGCCGUAUCCGGGUACGAGUGGUGAUUAGCGAUUGUAAACAGCUGAUAUCCUAACAUUGUAUGCGUCCCGUGCUCCGGUUUUGUUUCGGGUACUUGCCUACUGUUGUUUUUAUUUAUUUCGAGCGGGGGGUGCCCGAUGUGUGGAGGAAUAGCGUGGGUAUUUUCUUAGAUCAGAUUUUAGCAUGUGGCGUGAUAUUGCAUGAACUGUUUUUAACGCACUUUGUUUUGACGUUGCGUGAGUGAGUUGCUGUGUGUGUGCGUGUGUGUGUGUGUGUGUGUGUUGCAUGUUUAUAGGUUGCACGGGUGAUUAGAUGAACUGGGGGAUUCGCUGUCUCCACACUGACGCUCGCCCCACCGCUGCUGUGUUUAGGGACCCGGGCAAGUACACAGAUUGUUCGUGAUAAACUGUCAGCCAAAUUAGAAUAGGUUUACGGUGUGUGUUUUUUACUGCUGUAAUAAUAAAUUAUUGUUUUGUACCACAAUAUGAUCUCUGUUCCUUGAGUAAACCGAACCUGUAUUGUCCAGUCCGGCUCAAGGACUUCCCCCUCUUAUAAUAAAGAAAAGACCCUGGUGUUAUCCCAGUAGUUAGAAAUAAAUCAGCCCCCCCCCCCCCCUACUUGGUGUCACAUUUGGCGUUGCUGGCAGGACCAAGGACAGAGACAUGUUGCUUAAGCAUUUUUUUUGGAAUGUAUGUUUGUAAAUACCGUGCAGCUGAUUCCUUAUAAGGUCCAUACAAUUGUUGAUAGGCUUGUGUUUGUUGUAUUGUGGAGCAAAAGCAGCAGUUUGUGUGCCGGAGGACCCCUAAGACAACGCUUCCAGCAGUUUUCGGAGAAGACACGGUGUCAUCAUGGACGAGUAGAUGCAAGAACUUCGGGAGAUGGUGCAAAGGUUGAAGGCAGAUAAUGAGCGGCUGUUACAGGAAAGACAGUCCCUAAACCCGGUCCCGGGCUCCUCGACGGCACCUCCCUCUGCCAACGAUGGUAGUCUUGACUCUGCGCAACCACUCGGUACUUUCGGUAUGGAAACCUCUACUAGGUUGCCACCAGUUGUUGAGCGUGUGGUGUACAUUCCCAAGGAUAAGUGUUCCACCUUUACAGGAGAAGGAGACGUAUCGGUGAGGGAAUGGGUGGAUGAGGUGCAGUCAAAAUUUCGCACACGUAGGAUGUCUAUUGUAGAACAGGCCCAUUUCAUUUAUGACCAUUUAGGAGGAGCAGCAAGAGACGAAAUUAAGUAUCGUUCUAGACAGGUUCGGGAAGAUCCCAAACUAAUUUUUUCCAUCCUUCAGACUCAGUAUGGCUGUGCAGACUCACCUAUUGCUCUAUUGCAGAAUUUCCACUCUCGGAAACAGCAAGAAGGGGAGACAUUGCGUGAGUAUGCAAAUGCGCUAUUCUCCCUAAUGGAUAUUGUUAUACAACAUUCUCCUGACGGAGUUGCACAGGCAGCUAGCCUCCUACGCGAUCAAUAUGUUGAGUUCGUGUCGGAUGGCAACCUUAGCCGUGCGCUGAAAGAACUUGUUCGUAUUAACCCCGCCUAUGAUCUCCAUGAUAUCCGUGAUGCAGCCGUCCGAUGGGAGCGAGAAGGCAGACCACGGGAAGGGAGGCCGAGAAGCUAUUCUGUCCCGUCGGUUUAUAGCAUCCAUCAGGGCGCUUCCGUUUAUGCAGUUUUCUAAAACAUUGUCAGCCUUAA